UGAGUCAUGAAGCAGUUAAGGAACACCCUGCCCCAGGGCCGCAGGGCUCAUAAGGGCAGACCCACGUGGACUUCCUUGUGUAUCCAGACAGCCUGACGGCUCCCUCGUUCGCUCACACCCAGCCACGAGCCAGCCAGCGAGGGCAGCGGGAGGCAGAACCACAGCCCGCCCAUGCAAAUCAGCCCUGGGAGUGCAGCGGGGCUCCUCCUGCAGCUCCCGGGCAAUGCUCCUGGGGAGGCGAUGGGCAAGAUGCAACCCCGGGCGCUGUGCCUUCCUCCUUGUCCUGGCCCUCCUGCUCGACGCGGUGGGUCUGGUCCUUCUGCUGCUGGGUAUCUUCGCCUCCCUCGACUACUGGGACUUUUUGGUCUACACAGGGGCGCUGAUCCUGGCUUUCAGCCUCGUGUUCUGGAUCAGCUGGUACUCCUUCAACAUCGAGGAACCUCUUGAGAAACUGAGCUUGUAGUUUGGCCGUGGCAGAGGAGGAGGGACACGGGCUCUACGGGCUACCUCAACGGCUACCUGACUCUGUACCUGGGCUGUCGGAGGCGCGGGGACACGCUGCCACUCCCACACGGAGCGCCCCAGCGGGGACGAGAUCCCGUUGGAUGGAGGAGCAUCAAAGCGGGAAGAUGCCUCUCUAGGCCACACAUCCUUUCCUCGUAUCCAGGAGGAAGCAGAGGCCGUGAGGCAGAGGCUUCCAAAACACCCGCUAGGAUGCCCACGAGUGGCAGGAAGGCCGGGCUUCUGGAAGGUUCCGGUCUCCGUCAAGGGCCCAGCGCCCCUGCACCAACCCUGCACCAUUCCAGCUGCUCUAGGACAGCCUGAGAAGUCCUUGCCCUGGGCAUUCUGACAGAAGCAAGCUUGUCGGGGGCUUCGAUGCCCCGAGAAGUCCCGUCCCCUGCUGCUCCUCUUGUCAAUGUCCCAUUAAAGACUAACAGUCGGGGAAGUCCAAAGGGGGUCUCCUGCAGGCACGCACCACAGUGUGUUAUUGUUGCUUUCCCUCUCCGGCUCUGGGGACAGGCCAUGCGAGUCCCUGCAGGGCUCUGUCUCACCCAUCUCUCGGUGCAGUCUGGAGUGCCCAAGGGGCGUACUGCAACAUGCUAGUUGCAAAAGCAAAGCACAGGGGAAGCCGUGGGCCGGCCGCUGCCCUCCUCGGGGCCGGACACUAUUUAUGAUUCGUGCGGCCCCGCCCGUUUGCACGGCCACACUGCCGGCGGCUCCUAUCGAGCUUUUAGUCAAUGGAAGCCCUCCUCCGGGUGGUUUUCUGGACGUGAGUGAGCUCCUGUGUGCUGUCCACGUGUUAUGCACUUCUUGAUCCCAUGAGCGGGACCCUAUGUUUAUCUUAGCUCGACUGCAUCCAGUCAGACGCAGCCCAGCCCUGGUUACCUGUGACGGUCACCUUUCAGCUUGCUUCCAGAGGCUAAGCAGACGUGCCUGCACUUGUCCCCAGUGCUUGGCCUGCCUCGAUAACUUAUAUUUCCCCUGGUCUAAUUUUGUACUUUUUAUUUAUAUUUAACCUAAAAAAAAAAAAAAAAAAGUUUAAGUGUUCUCUAUAAGCUGCCUCAGAUGUUCUGGGGUGCUAGGUAAUUCUCUAGAUAUAGAAAUAGAUUUGGCCUCUGGCCUCACCAUGACACGACGUAUUUCUGAACCUACAUGGUCUCUAGGAAUUCUCAAAGUCCCAGUCUUACAGCAUCCUUGUCUCAAGAGCUGAACCUGCUUUCGUGCAAGUCCUGGAACUCAAUGCUGGGCACAGCACCUUCUUGAAAGGACCACACAGAGACCAGUGGAUGGAGACAAGACGGAGCCUAUGCUGACACCAUGGAAUCUUCCGGAAGUUUCCUGCUCAGCCUCCAUCCCGGCCUCUCAGAGCUUAGGCUGGGCUCAGAAACUGGACAGACAUCAUGGACAAACAUUCCAGAUAAGCCAUAAAGAAGGAAGAUCCCCCUCCUACUCCAGAAGGCUUCUUGACCACCCGCACGUGUAAUACUAUUGACUUUUCCGAACUGGACACCUCUUGGCGGUUCCAACACUGUGAGGAAACCUUCCUCUUCCUUGAGGCGUGAACAUUAGUAUAGAAAGAAGGGUCCCAUGUUACUGAUGUGGGACAGGAGCCCUGGCGUCCAGGGGUCUGGACUGCCAGUCAGGCCCUCUUCCCCCUCCGUAAACCUCUGACUGGCUUCCCCAGAGCCCUGCUGAGCCUUGGGCAGGGCAAGCAAGCAAGCAGGCAAGCCAGCUGGGCAGUGGCCGGAGGAGGUGAGACACACUCGUGUGAGCGUGAGUCAUGAGCCAUUACGCCUGGGGCCUCGACGUGACUGUGCUGCGUGCCCAGGAAUGUGAUCCCGACCUCCCAGGCCUCCAUCCUGCUCCAUGUCUCCUCAGAUGCCAGAGCCAUGAGCUCUGAGUGCCCAUCCCGCAGGGCAAGGCUGGGCAGAGAGGGAGGAGGAAGCAGGAGGAGCCGAGUUUUAGUGGGCGGGGCCACCUGGAGCUGGGCUCAUCUUCCCAAAAGUUCUCCUGCAGGGCUCUCCAGAACCAUCUCCGUGGCCCCUCCUCCUGUCUGUCCCCUGAAGGCAGCUGGGCUUUUUCCAUGACCUGGACUCAGUUGGCUCAGCUGCCGAUGGGCUGAGUGACCUUCUAGGUCAUCCUCACCUGUGAGGCCGUAAUGAUAAUGACAUCCUAGUCACAAGGAUCAAAGGAGAUGCGGCACUGGCCUUUGGAGAAUCCCACAUCCUCCCGAAUGGGCAUAUACCUUUGAGAGCCUCACUUCUCCUUGGUAGAAAUCAAGACGCAGAGCUGUCCAUUUUAGACUCCUGAUGAUUCGAGAACCUUAGACAAACAGCCUCAGCCUGGUAACAGAUGCUGAUUAUAAGUGUGCUGGCUCCUUCUGCAGCAACCUCUGUUUGUUCUUGAGAAAAACCCGUCGUAAGACAGCUGAGGCAAGGUUGGGGGAGAGCCAGGGAAGACGGGAGGCCGUGUGUGAUGUUGGGGACCAUGUCUUAUCACUUGGAAGCAUCCGGUGUAGACUUGGGUUGUGUGAGUAGAGCCCCACAGGCUUAGCAGCUUGGAUGCACCUUGGGCCUCAGGCUGCUCCCCAAAUACAAGCACCCAGGUGACAAGCAUCUCUGUGUCUUUGCUUCCUUGCUGCUCCUCCUUCUCCAAGCCGACUGCUCCCAUGUUAGCACUAGCCAUUAGGCGGCCAUUUUCCUCUUCACCAGCUUCCAUUCCAGCCCAAGGCCUAGGGCAGAGGCCCUCUGGAGGGCGUACCCAGGGUCACGUGCUCAGCACCCACAGCCUCAGCCCGACGUCCUCUCAUCCCGACCCCGCCUUUCUGGCCAGCCUUCCUGGCCCCCAUCCAUAUCAGACUCGGGGCCCCAGUUCCCAAGAGCACAUCUACCUCCCUGACAAGAGCCCACCAGCGUCUGAGCUCUGGUCCCUGCUCAUUGCCUCUCGUGGUCUGGGACGCCAGGCCCACGUCUCCACGGCCACCUGGGAUGACAAUGACACAGCCAUUCUCCAAGUGCAGCCCUGGGACUAGUAGUAUCCGCAUCGCCUGGGAAAUUGUGAGAAGAGCAAAGUGUCCGGCCCUGGUUGGGGGACCACCUCAUCCCAGUUCACCUGCCUCGAGCCAGGGGUUCCUGUUCCAGACCUACAGAGUGAGAGCAACCACGUUCCCCAAGCCCUCCCAGGGGGAUUCUGAUGCACCUGUGCUCAAGUCUGAGAACUGUCACUGGGAAGAUCCCUGAUGCUGAACUGGGAACCUGGAGGCUUCCCUGCAGUUGUCCCCAGUUGUUCCCAUCUCCUCCAUCUCCCAUGGGUACUGGAGAGCAGACCUUGCCCCAUCACACAGUGUCCUGGCCCCAGGCUGUGCCAGCCCCAGGCAGCUCUAUCAGCUGUGGGGAACUUCGUGUCCUGGUCAGCCCAUCCUGUCCCCAGUCACCUAUGACUAGUGUCCCUUACUAGCCAGGGGGAUGGACUGGUUGUUCCUCUGGCCUCGCACCCAUUUUGGUUUUCAAGAGACUCAAGUUCCCCAUGGCUCAGGAAGAAAGUCGAGUGGGGGAGGCUGCGGGGUGCUGGUGUAGGAACAAAGGAGGGAGGAGGCAGGAGAAGAGUCCAGGGGAAGAGGGGAGAGGCCUGGAGGGAGUGAGACAGUGGGAGAAAGGCUGGGGUGAGGAAGGGUGACAGGAAAGAAGAGCCAUGGAAGAGAGAGCAAGUCGGGGGAGAGCAUUUCUCAAAGUGGGGUCCUGGGACCCCCGGCGGCAGCAGCACCUGAGACCUGCUUUGACAUUGGGUCUCACCCCAGACCUUCUGAACCAGGAACUCUGGGGAUUGGGCCCAUUUUGUCUGCGUUGCAAAAAGUCCUCCCUGGGACUCUGAUGCAAACCGCAACUGGAGUCCCGCUGGGCUGAACGGCUGUAUUCUGUGAAGCCUCUGGAUCCUGGGUUUUUUCCAGUGUUUUUGAAUAUCUGCCUCGGGCAUAGCAGCCUGGGAAAAAAGAUCAGGGUCUCCCUCGGGCGACUCACACACAUACCAAAUCUUGCUCUUGACCUACUAACUCCCUGAAAGGGCAGGGACUGUCUCCCCCAACCCCUGUCCUCCAUCACUCCCCGUACACCACUGGAACCCCCAGUCUCUGGCAGCUCUACACCAGGCAGCCUUUUCCCAGAAGGUCUGUGGGCUUGGAAAGAACCCCAAGGAGCCUCUGAUCUGUUCCUUCUCAACCUACUCAACAUCAAGACCCUUCUUUAUUAUUAAAUCCACCCCCCCUCAUCUCUCUUGUCUUCAAAUCUGCUGUCUGCCAAGGAGACUGAUCAUUAAGGAAUAAUUAAUUCAUUUCCCCAUGAUUUAUUAAUCAAACACAUUCACAACUGGGCAUGCAAAAAGCAGAAAACAGAUGUAUUAUGAUUUCCAUUAGAGUUUUGAGACAUUUAAAAACACUCCAUUACAACUGCCAGGAGCCCCUAGGGACCUGGGGAGGGACAAAUGCAGCCAGAGUUUGCAGACCUCAAGUGCCUGUGUGGACAAAAGGUAGAACGAGAAGAGUAAAGUGGUUUUGAGUCUCCUGCCAGUCUCCCCCCAUACUCAGCCCACUUUGUCCCUUCCACAAACUGCGCAUUACCCCCUCUUUCUGGGGGUCUCCAAAGGACAUCUGCUGGACUCACAAAUAAGGCCAGUACAAAACCAGGUUUACUGCACGAUGGUAUGGACCCCAAGAGGGUCGCGCGGCACAGACUCAGCUGAGGGAGAAAGAGCUUUGGAUUAGCUGUCAGACCUGCGACUCAGCGCCAAAUGAUGGUAUCACCAAGUCUCUCGUGGGAGCUGGAACUUCAUCUGUAAAGUGGGAUCUUAUCACCCUCAAAUGAGAUAAUACAUAUGAUAGUAAUUAACAUUAGGGGCGCUUGGGUGGCUCAGUGGGCUAAAACCUCUGCCUUCUGCUCAGGUCAUGAUCUCAGGGACCUGGGAUCGAGCCCCAUGUCGGGCUCUCUGCUCAGCAGGGAGCCUGCCUCCCCCUCUCUCUCUGCCUGCCUCUCUGCCUACUUGUGAUCUCUGUCAAAUAAAUAAAAUCUUUAAAAAAAAAUUGUUCACCAGAUG